rnacentral:rRNA from 1 species
AUUGAACGCUGGCGGCAUGCCUUACACAUGCAAGUCGAACGGCAGCACGGGCUUCGGUCUGGUGGCGAGUGGCGAACGGGUGAGUAAUGUAUCGGAACGUACCAUUGAGUGGGGGAUAACGUAGCGAAAGUUACGCUAAUACCGCAUAUUCUCUCCGGAGGAAAGCAGGGGACCGCAAGGCCUUGCGCUCUUUGAGCGGCCGAUAUCAGAUUAGCUAGUUGGUGGGGUAAAAGCUCACCAAGGCGACGAUCUGUAGCGGGUCUGAGAGGAUGAUCCGCCACACUGGAACUGAGACACGGUCCAGACUCCUACGGGAGGCAGCAGUGGGGAAUUUUGGACAAUGGGGGCAACCCUGAUCCAGCCAUGCCGCGUGAGUGAAGAAGGCCUUCGGGUUGUAAAGCUCUUUCGGCCGGGAAAAAAUCGCAUGGAUUAAUACUCUGUGUGGAUGAUGGUACCGGAAUAAGAAGCACCGGCUAACUACGUGCCAGCCGCCGCAGUAA